CGUGGGUAACCUGCCUCAUACAGGGGGAUAGCAGCUGGAAACGGCUGAUAAAACCGCAUAAGCGCACAGCAUCGCAUGAUGCAGUGUGAAAAACUCCGGUGGUAUGAGAUGGACCCGCGUCUGAUUAGCUGGCUGGUGAGGUAACGGCCCACCAAGGCGACGAUCAGUAGCCGGCCUGAGAGGGUGACCGGCCACAUUGGGACUGAGACACGGCCCAA
rnacentral:rRNA from 1 species